rnacentral:lncRNA from 1 species
CUUCCUCUUCUUUACCAUCCACUGUACAGGACUGAGGACAGUGUGGACGAUAUGGAGGUAUCUGUUACGAAUACCGGGAAAAAAAGGCCAAAAACGGUCAAAUGUUGAUGCCUUUGAUGCUUAGGAGCAGAAUAAGGUCCAGAUCGUGUCAGGCUCGGUGGACCUCCAAGGGACGUCUCACAUUGGAAACCCCUUGGUGGUGCUGGAGUCGUGUGCGGAUGUGGAGACUUCGCUUGCUCCAAUGGCCGACUCCGAGCGGGACACAGAGAACGCAUGGUCUAAGUAACUUCAGAAAGGACAUGACAGUGGAGACCUGUGUGGUUUGAGCAUCCCUCAAGGAACUUUCUCAACUGAUUGCUGAGAGAGGUAUGCUAACCACCGUGGGAAAGGAGCACAGUGCCAAGACUGGAUUAACGGAAAAACAUCGCCUGACACAGCAUCCACCAUCAUGCAUAAUCGGAUGGUCUUCAUUCCUCAGAAGAAAACUUUUGUUACCUCUUCUAGUCAUCAAUGAUCAAGGAAUGGUAUGGAGAUGGAAUACAGAUGUGAGAAUCGCUCUCAGUGUUCGGUGUGAUCACCCAAUCCAAGGAAAAUAUAUCAGCUUCAAUGUAUGUGCCACCUGCUGAAGUGUCAUACACCAGCUCGCUCAUAUUCUUCUGCUGCCUUGUAUGAAACCCUAUGCCAGCACCAAAUUCCUCAAUGAGGAGUUCCUUGAUGUAGCUAGACUUUGCACCUGAUGUGUUGAACCCAAAGUUUGCAGUGAUUUUUUUAUACUCAGUGAGGAGCCCUUGUACAGUCCUGAGUUCAUGUUCCUGAAAGAUUACCUCACGUAUAUAAUCAUAGAACAUCUGCUGUGCCUCAAUGAUUUGGACACUUUGGAGGUGUAGUCGUCCAGCAUCAGUGAUUACUUUAUUUGUAAUGUUCUGCAUCCAACAGUCGUGAUGAUAACGUAUUUCUGUGGCAAAUGGGUCAGUGGUGGCAUCAAUAAGUUUAACAAGGCGAUCCCUUAUGUCAGGGUCUUCAAGUAAGACAGUGUGUCUUUUGAAUUUCUGCCAUGCAAUAUCUGUUGACAUCAAAUGCUAACCACCUUUAGAAUGUCCAGGAUGUUUUGUGACCUUGGGUUUCAUGCACCAGACACAGAGGUGCUUUUGAUGCAGCAAACCUGUACCUGAGCACAACUUUUUG